GGACUACUGGGGUUUCUAAUCCCGUUUGCUCCCCUGGCUUUCGCGCCUCAGCGUCAGAAAAGGUCCAGCGUGCCGCCUUCGCCACCGGAGUUCCAGUUGAUAUCAACGCAUUUCACCGCUCCACCAACUGUUCCGCACGCCCCUACCUUCCUCGAGACAACCAGUAUCGGAGGCAGUUCUACAGUUAAGCUGUAGGAUUUCACCACCGACUUGAUCGCCCGCCUACGCGCCCUUUAAGCCCAGUGAUUCCGAACAACGUUCGCUCGGUUCGUCUUACCGCGGCUGCUGGCAC
rnacentral:rRNA from 1 species